AUGAGACUACUUGGCUACAUGUGUCUAAUUUUAUUUAGGAAUCAUCAGGCAAAGCCAGUAACAUCAGAGGUGUCCACUGAAUGGCUCAGAGUUGAGAAAACCCACCCUCCUGGAAGCAGAGUGGCAGAGGAGCCAAAUGGUGAUCUGGAGAAUAUAGCAUUUCCAUUCACAAUCCAAGCAACAGGAGAAGCAAGCCCUUUCAUCCUUGUCAGCAGGAACAGCAGGAAGGAAAAAAGAAAAGAAUGGAGAAAUAACCAAAGGAGAUUUAUUCACAUCAUGUGUUCUUCUUUCAGGGUGGAGAAGGUAAGGUGA
rnacentral:lncRNA from 1 species